CCUACGGGAGGCAGCAGUCGAGAAUCAUUCACAAUGGGGGAAACCCUGAUGGUGCGACGCCGCGUGGGGGAAUGAAGGUCUUCGGAUUGUAAACCCCUGUCAUGUGGGAGCAAAUUAAAAAGAUAGUACCACAAGAGGAAGAGACGGCUAACUCUGUGCCAGCAGCCGCGGUAAUACAGAGGUCUCAAGCGUUGUUCGGAAUCACUGGGCGUAAGGCGUGCGGAGGCUGUUUCGUAAGUCGUGUGUGAAAGGCGCGGGCUCAACCCGCGGACGGCACAUGAUACUGCGAGACUAGAGUAAUGGAGGGGGAACCGGAAUUCUCGGUGUAGCAGUGAAAUGCGUAGAUAUCGAGAGGAACACUCGUGGCGAAGGCGGGUUCCUGGACAUUAACUGACGCUGAGGCACGAAGGCCAGGGGAGCGAAAGGGAUUAGAUACCCUUGUAGUC
rnacentral:rRNA from 1 species